rnacentral:rRNA from 1 species
UGGGGGAUAUUGCACAAUGGGCGAAAGCCUGAUGCAGCGACGCCGCGUGGGGGACGAAGGCCUUCGGGUUGUAAACUUCUUUUGCUCUGAACAAGGCGCACCAUGGGGUGUGUUGAGUGUAGGGGUUGAUUAGCGCCGGCUAACUACGUGCCAGCAGCCGCGGUAAUACGUAGGGCGCGAGCGUUGUCCGGAAUUAUUGGGCGUAAAGGGCUUGUAGGUGGCUGGUUGCGUCUGUCGUGAAAGCUCAUGGCUUAACUGUGGGUUUGCGGUGGGUACGGGCUGGCUUGAGUGCAGUAGGGGGGGCUGGAAUUCCUGGUGUAGCGGUGGAAUGCGCAGAUAUCAGGAGGAAUACCGGUGGCGAAGGCGGGUCUCUGGGCUGUUACUGACACUGAGGAGCGAAAGCAUGGGGAGCGAACAGG